rnacentral:rRNA from 1 species
AUUGAACGCUGGCGGCAGGCCUAACACAUGCAAGUCGAGCGGAUGAAGGGAGCUUGCUCCUGGAUUCAGCGGCGGACGGGUGAGUAAUGCCUAGGAAUCUGCCUGGUAGUGGGGGAUAACGUCCGGAAACGGGCGCUAAUACCGCAUACGUCCUGAGGGAGAAAGUGGGGGAUCUUCGGACCUCACGCUAUCAGAUGAGCCUAGGUCGGAUUAGCUAGUUGGUGGGGUAAAGGCCUACCAAGGCGACGAUCCGUAACUGGUCUGAGAGGAUGAUCAGUCACACUGGAACUGAGACACGGUCCAGACUCCUACGGGAGGCCGCAGUGGGGAAUAUUGGACAAUGGGCGAAAGCCUGAUCCAACCAUGCCGCGUGUGUGAAGAAGGUCUUCGGAUUGUAAAGCACUUUAAGUUGGGAGGAAGGGCAGUAAGUUAAUACCUUGCUGUUUUGACGUUACCAACAGAAUAAGCACCGGCUAACUUCGUG